rnacentral:rRNA from 1 species
GACGAACGCUGGCGGCGUGCUUAACACAUGCAAGUCGAACGGAAAGACCCUGCUUUUGUGGGGUGCUCGAGUGGCGAACGGGUGAGUAACAAGUGAGUAACCUGCCCUUGACUUUGGGAUAACUUCAGGAAACUGGGGCUAAUACCGGAUAGGAGCUCCUGCUGCCUGGUGGGGGGUGGAAAGUUUCGGCGGUUGGGGAUGGAUGCGCGGCUUAUCUGCUUGUUGGUGGGGUAGUGGCUGACCAAGGCUUUGACGGGUGGCCGGCCUGAGAGGGUGACCGGCCACAUUGGAGCUGAGAAACGGCCCAGACUCCUACGGGAGGCAGCAGUGGGGAAUAUUGCACAAUGGGCUGAAGCCUGAUGCAGCAACGCCGCGUGCGGGAUGACGGCCUUCGGGUUGUAAACCGCUUUCGCCUGUGACGAAGCGUGAGUGACGGUAAUGUGUAAAGAAGCACCGGCUAACUACGUG